rnacentral:rRNA from 1 species
UACGGGGGGGGCAAGCGUUGUUCGGAAUUACUGGGCGUAAAGGGCUCGUAGGCGGCCAACUAAGUCGGAUGUGAAAUCCCCAGGCUCAACCUGGGAACUGCAUCCGAUACUGGAUGGCUUGAAUUCGGGAGAGGGAUGCAGAAUUCCAGGUGUAGCGGUGAAAUGCGUAGAUAUCUGGAGGAACACCGGUGGCGAAGGCGGCAUCCUGGACCGACACUGACGCUGAGGAGCGAAAGCCAGGGGAGCAAAGCGGG